CCUUCGAUAGCUCAGUUGGUAGAGCGGAGGACUGUAGUGGUUUCACGGGAAUCCUUAGGUCGCUGGUUCGAAUCCGGCUCGAAGGA
rfam:Xiphophorus maculatus strain JP 163 A Contig20.64, whole genome shotgun sequence.